rnacentral:lncRNA from 1 species
AUCAAUAGAAACUCAGCCACUAUCAUCAAUGUUGUGACGGCGGAUAAAGUGAAUCUAGUUGAAGAUAAGUAUGUCAGUCAUGCUGAGACAUAAAGCUUUUCUGUGACAGAUUUCCUGUUUUGACAAUACUUUUUAAGUAUUAAAAUUCUGAUGCUCUCUUAGAUGAAUUGGAAAUUCAGUUUUGCUUUCUUCAACUGGAAGAUUUGCCCAAUGGUGUACUUGCUGAAAGUAGAAUGGAUAUUAAGUAGAUGGUCGACAGCAACCUAGCAUUGUGAUGGAACCAGCUGGUAUCAGAUCAUGCUGACUAAUAUGCCCUAGUCGCCACGGAUGCUGUCGGAGGUUCCCACUAGAUGUGAGAAACCAUAAUAUGUAAAGAGCUCUAUCUAUUGUAUGUCUGUAGCAGUUGAUGGCAGUCGUUAACAAAUGUCUUAGUUGAUGUCAAAUAACUAUCUACUAUUUAGAUAAAUGCUUAAACUGAACUGAAAUGCAGCUCUGUCAAAUAGCAUCAACAUUUCUUUCUCAUCUGCAUUCACUUCUGACGGUAUACUUGACAGUCUAAUUAUUCCAAGCUAGAGGGGAAAAAUAAUUGCAAUUGUUAGUAGUAAUACGGACAUAUUAGCUUCUGAGUUUUCUACAAGUUUAGUAGCAAAAUUUUCCAGAAGGAAGCAGUUAUAAAGGUAAUGUGAAAGCAAGCUGAUCCGAAUAUUAUCAUCCAAGGGAUUCCAGUUCUCCAUCCAGCAGACCUGCUCCCAAGGACUCUAGCAAAGCUCCAAGCUCGAGUAACAAAAGCCACUCCAGUAAACCUUUGAGCGAUCAUGACAACAGCCACUCCAGCAAAGCUUAAUGUUUGAUAUGCUUCACAAAGCUUAAUGUUUGUGACAUAUUCCAAGCAACAGAGACUUUGGCCAUACAUUUCAAGGCCCCCCAAAAAAGAAAGAAAAUCAUCGACCAACGUUUACUGUCGCGUGCCUUAGAUCCAAUGGAUACCCAUCAUGAAUAGUUACAUUUUUCAUUCAAUGGAUGGACCCAUUCGUUCACAAGUGUUGCUGGAACAAUUAUUCAAGAUGAAGAUGGCCUUUAUGAUUUUAACAGAUGCCAUGACAAAAGGAAAAUGACUAGUUGUCACAGACAAUUUACCGGAAUACCAUCUGGCUAAAGAAAUUAAAACUGAUUUUGAAACCUGCGAAAUAUUUGGGACGAUGCGAUGUGUAUAUUGUUCACGUGAGGACUGUUACAAGAGGAUUGCUGGCACAGGAGGCAUCUCCCAAUUUUUUCAUUUUCCCAUGGAACCCAUCGAUCAUGUGUAAGCCAUUUUGUAAUUUUUUUAAAUAGUCAUUUUGUAAAUCAUUUCGUAAAUAGCCUUGUACAUAUUGCAUGCAAUAAAAACGUUAGUAUAAAAAAAA